GACAGCCAAAAGAGUGUCCAGAUUGGUUGACAGGUUGAAUGUUCGCCAUUUGAAGCCAUAUGUUCGUCGAACAGACACGCCCAAAGAUGUCGGCAUCGCUUCUGAUGUCCAGGAAUUGAGUGUAUUGUGCGACAUCUCGAUGGAAGCUGUAGGUGCUGAAUGUGCAGAUGUUGAUCACACAUUGGAAGUUGUCGUGCCACGUUUCGCGACUUAGACAGUCUGGCAGGCCCAGAGUUCAACUGGCUGACCGAUGAUGUAAGUAAAACUUAG